AUCCAGUUGACAAGUCCCAAAUAGGACGAAACGCUCGUCCUGAAU
rnacentral:hammerhead_ribozyme from 1 species